GACGAACGCUGGCGGCGUGCCUAAUACAUGCAAGUAGAACGCAGUUGCGAACGGGUGAGUAACGCGUAGGUAACUGCCUCAUAGCGGGGGAUAACCAUUGGAAACGAUAGCUAAUACCGCAUACUGUGAGAUGGACCUGCGUUGUAUUAGCUUGUUGGUGAGGUUAAGGCUCGCCAAGGCGACGAUACAUAGCCGGCCUGGGAGGGUGAUCGGCCAAACUUGGAUUACGCUCCGGCCCAGACUCCUACGGGAGGCGACGGGAGGGAAGAUUCGGCAAUGGCCGGAAGUCUGAACGAGCAAGGUCGCGGGAGUGAGGAAGUUUUUCGGGUCGUAAAGCUCUGUUGUUAGAGAAGCGGUAACUAACCAAAAAGGGACGGCUAACUACGUGCCAGCAGCCGCGGUAAUAC
rnacentral:rRNA from 1 species